GGCUGGUUCAAAGGUAGUGAGUUAUCUCACUUGAUCAUUUACAGUCAGUUACAAAUUAAAUUCCUUACUCUACUACUUUACCCUCUUCUCACUACUGCAUUUGACUAGUCUUUA
rnacentral:Y_RNA from 1 species